UAGUCGGACCUCGAUUCCACAGGAAGUGGGGGCGCCGCAGUUUUGGGGAGGAGCCCGGGGUUGCUAUGGAGUUCCCUGAGACCUUGGAGCACUUUCCGGGUCCGUGUUGAAGUGCAAAAGUAAAUGGAGCGUUUCUGGAGACGAGCUAAGCUCAAGUUGACGAGGGAAAGAGGACUGGGAGCUCUCGAUGGAGCAGGGUCUGCCGUUGGCGCGCAAGCUUCCUCCUGUGCACAGCACAACGUGGGCUGUGCCUUAGGUUCAUUCUCACACUUUGUAUUCGGGGUCAGCAGACUUGUUGUGCAGUGUUCUUUGUUCCCCCGUCUUGGGAUGUCAGAUUGGGAAGAAAGCAUCUUUUGAAACUGAUUUCCAAAUUGCUCAGGAUCUUUCUGCCAAGAGCUUAAAAGUAGUGGGGUGAGCAGGGAAAGGCAUUUCCUCUCCAAAGACUGAAUCUUGAAAGUCCAUCCUUGCAUCAGCCACAGGAAGGCUCUCUCCAGUCCCACCACACCUGACUUUAGCAGCUUUUCUUUAACAGGGGCUUAGGCCAGAUUGAGGACAUCAUUUGAAUGCAUUAUCUGGAGAAGCUUGCUUUCUCCAUGAGUCAUAGAAGCUGUUGCAGGAUAAACUUGAAGGAGUUGGGGGACAAUAUGUUGGAUAAACUUUGCUGUGUUACGUGCUUUGAAGAUCAUCCCUGAGCAAGAGCAGCAGAAUGAAUUAGCAGGUACACAGCGAAUCUGCGAGUUAGCAGAAACCUGAAGGAAGCAAGAAUGAAAACCAUGAAGAUAUUUUGGGAAGAGUGUUCCAGGCAAAGAGAAGAGCAAGUGCAAAGGCUGGCCAGUCUCCAUCCUGCCCCCUGAAGCAUACAGUCUGAUUUUUUUCUACCGUGGCUUAAUUUCACCUGUUCUAAAACUUCAUCUGAAUGGAAUCAUAGCGUGAGCAUGUGUUCUUUUGAGAGUCUAUCCAAGUAAGUUGCCAAAUUAUAUUAUUAGUUUGUAGGAAGUCUUUAUAUAUUCUGCAUACAAGAAGGUAAGGACUUUCAAUUUUAUUGCUUUCUUAAUGUGAAGGGAAGCCAUGGGAAGGUUUUGAGCACGGAAUAAUGCAAAACCAGGGGAAUCGUUCUAUGAUUUUGCAUUGCACAACUUCAGGGGCUGCCAUUCCCACUUGUAGCCAUCAUAGAUAUGUAUAUUUGUUACAGUUUUCCAUCAGAUGUCAGUAAACAUCUUCAGGAAGAGACAGCUUUUUAAAACUCACUCAAAAACACUAUUUGAGUUAGUAGUGGAUCACUGCCAUGAACUUUUACUAGGAUUAUUCUGCAUUUUGUGUGAAAACUGGAGUGCCACAAGGCAAGGUUAAGAAGUUUUCCAAGCAGAAGUUUGAAAUGAUCACUUCUUUUAAGCUGCAUGAGGUAGGAGAGAGAAAGACAAUGUAAAGUAGUAACAGUUUCCAAACAGAAUUCAGAGGAGACAUGGACCCAGGAUAUAUUGGGGUAGACAAUGAAACUUUUCCGCCUUUCCAGGCUCUUUAACUAGUGUAAGUUUCUCAAAGUAAGAAGUGGCCCCAGAAUAUAGAUAAAAUCAAGGGCAAGACUGUAAAACCCUUUCUUAAAACGCUUUGAAAGAUGUAAGAUGAUACUCACUCGACUCUCUUAGCUAAGCCAAAGAGAGGCUAAGAAUCACAAAGGCAUCGUCUUGACUUCCUGCUCCAAGUAGGGGGCAGCCUGUCUUAAAAGGGAUGGUGGGAAUGGAUUGUAUCUUUUGGAAUGAACUAUAACCUGAUACAUAGAAAGCCUACAACAUUUUUAAGGAAGUGCUGCUAUGAGAUUAUACUAAGAAGGGUCAAAGAUGAUGGAAAAUGAAACAGAUCUCUGAGACCUUGACUUUCUACAGGCUGGAAGUAUGCUGAAAAAACUACUCAGCUACAAACACAGCCAUUCCUUACAAAAAAAGAAAGAUAUCUAGAUGGUAGUAUCAAUUCCCAGAGAGAAAGACCAAGAGAUGAGAAGAAUGGGUUAAGGAACUCUUCUCAGGGAUUAGCACUGGGCCCUAAUCAAGGAACAUUCUCUACUGUUGUAGAAGGUGGAAUUAACAGGUACAUAUUUGGGGGUGAGAAUUGCCACGGACCAGUAGUUCCAUGAGUUUCUUGUCCUUUGUCUCUCUUUAUGAGAGUAUCUAUGGUCAGUAUCCUACUGCUAUUCAACGUUCUAUCUUGUAUGUGUGGGAGGAGAGAAGGUCAUUGUAGUUCACAGGUCCCUGUAUGAAAAGGAGCAGUACUGGAGGAGCUGCACUUGACAGACUACAACCAAGGUGCUUCAUCGAGAUCUGUACCAGAUUUAUGUGAGGAGAUCAUGGACAUUAAGCCUGAUGCUCUGAUUGGAUGAAAUUUUGGGAUAUGAAAAAGGAAAGCAGAGUCACUCCCCUCUCUUGAAUCUGGAAUGGCCCUUGCCAGUGGUGAUUUGCUUUGUUUGACAAAACGUGGCAGGAGUGAUGGUGUGUAACUUCUGAGGCCUGGCAGAAUACCAGAAAGUGAUAUUAUGCAACUUCCACCUUUAAUCUUUUGAAACUCUUCUGAGACUUCCCAGGAAGAAAGAAAACACGGAGGAAAAGGCUGAGCCAUCAGCCAGCACCAACUAUCAUACUUAGGAGUGAAGCUGUCUUGGGACUCCCAGCUCAGCCUGGACAAAAGUCAGACAAUUCACAGAAAUUUGCAAAAUAAUAUAUUGUUAUUAUUUUAAACCUCUAA